rnacentral:rRNA from 1 species
GGAAUCUUCCACAAUGGGCGAAAGCCUGAUGGAGCGACACCGCGUGAAGGAUGAAGGCCCUAGGGUCGUAAACUUUUAAAAGAGGGACGAUAAUGACGGUACCUCUUGAGAAGCACCGGCUAACUCCGUGCCAGCAGCCGCGGUAAUAGGGAGGGUGCAAGCUGUUAUCCGGAAUCACUGGGCGUAAAGGGCGCGUGGGCGGUCUGUUAAGUCGGGCGUUAAAGCCUGGGGCUCAACCCCAGAUCAGCGUUGGAUACUGGCAGGCUAGACGGCGGGAGAGGCGAGUGGAAUUACCAGUGUAGCGGUGGAAUGCGUAGAUACUGGUAGGAACACCCAUUGCGAAGGCAGCUCGCUGGACAGCACGUGACGCUGAGGCGCGAAAGUGUGGGGAGCAAACCGGAUUAGAUACCCGGGUAGUCCACACCCUAAACGAUGCAUACUUGGUA